UAAGUUAAGAGUUUAAGGCCCCGGCUUAACUGGGUGCACGCUCUUAAUACUGCUUUUCUUGAGUAUGGGAGAGGGUGAUGGAAUUCCAGGUGUAGCGGUGGAAUGCGUAGAUAUCUGGAAGAACACCAGUAGCGAAGGCGGUCACCUGGCCCAAUACUGACGCUGAGGCUCGAAAGUCGGGGGAGCGAACAGGAUUAGAUACCCUGGUAGUCCCGACCGUAAACGAUGGAUACUAGUUGCUGGGAGAGUCAAUCCUUUCAGUGACGAAGCCAACGCAUUAAGUAUCCCGCCUGGGGAGUACGCUCGCAAGGGUGAAACUCAAAGGAAUUGACGGGGGCCCGCACAAGCGGUGGAGCAUGUGCUUUAAUUCGAUGCAACGCGAAGAACCUUACCUGGGUUUGACAUGGGGAUGAAACUCUUCAGAGAUGAGGAGCCUUUCUUCGGAAACACCCUGCACAGGUGCUGCAUGGUUGUCGUCAGCUCGUGUCGUGAGAUGUUGGGUUAAGUCCCGCAACGAGCGCAACCCCUGCCCUUAGUUGCCAGCGAGUAAUGUCGGGAACUCUAAGGGGACCGCCUGGACCAACCAGGAGGAAGGUGGGGAUGACGUCAAAUCAUCAUGGCCCUUACGCCCAGGGCUAGACACGUGCUACAAUGGCCGGCACAGAGGGCUGCGAAACGGCGACGUGGAGCUAAUCCCUUAAAACCGGUCUCAGUUCGGAUUGGAGUCUGCAAUUCGACUCCAUGAAGGUGGAAUCGCUAGUAAUCGCGGAUCAGCAUGCCGCGGUGAUACGUUCCCGGGCAUUGUACACACCGCCCGUCAAGCCACGAAAGAUGGCAGUGCCCGAAGUCGCUUUCCCAACCGCAAGGAGGGAGGCGCCGAAGG
rnacentral:rRNA from 1 species